rnacentral:rRNA from 1 species
AGGAAUAUUGCUCAAUGGGAGAAAUCCUGAAGCAGCAACGCCGCGUGGAGGAUGAAGGGUCUAUGACUUGUAAACUCCUGUAAAGAAGGAAAAAAUUCCCAUUAGAUGGGAGAUGAUGGUACUUCUGGAGUAAGCCCCGGCUAACUACGUGCCAGCAGCCGCGGUAAUACGUAGGGGGCAAGCGUUGUCCGGAUUUACUGGGUGUAAAGGGUGCUCAGGCGGAGUUGUAAGUCAGAGGUGAAAUCUUACAGCUUAACUGUGAAACUGCCUUUGAUACUGCAAGCCUAGAGUAUGGAAGAGAGUGAUGGAAUAUCUGGUGUAGCAGUGAAAUGCGUAGAUAUCAGAUAGAACACCAAUGGCGAAGGCAGUCACUUGAUCCAUUACUGACGCUAAAGCACGAAAGCGUGGGUAGCAAACA